UUACACUUUACUUGAAGGUAUCUACAUAAGAGUGACAUGACACUGUCAUGAACGUGUCAUAAACAUUAUAAACAAGUCAUAAACAUUUAUGACAUAACACUUCUGUCAGUAAGUGUAAUUCGGUUUUUGUCUGUUAGAGUUAGGGUUAGGGUUCAUGUGUCAUGACAACAUGAGAGUGUGUCAUGUCACUCUUAUGUAGAUACCUUCAAGUGAAGUGUAACCAAAGAUUGAUACCAGCCAUGUUCGUACGAUAAUUAUGCACUAAUUAUGUAGAGCAGCACGGAUGUUGUUACCAGACUA